UCCAGACUCCUACGGGAGGCAGCAGUGGGGAAUAUUGGACAAUGGGGGGAACCCUGAUCCAGCGACGCCGCGUGAGUGAAGAAGUAUUUCGGUAUGUAAAGCUCUAUCAGCAGGGAAGAAAAUGACGGUACCUGACUAAGAAGCCCCGGCUAACUACGUGCCAGCAGCCGCGGUAAUACGUAGGGGGCAAGCGUUAUCCGGAUUUACUGGGUGUAAAGGGAGCGUAGACGGCAUGGCAAGUCAGAUGUGAAAGCCCGGGGCUCAACCCCGGGACUGCAUUUGAAACUGUCAGGCUGGAGUGCAGGAGGGGCAGGCGGAAUUCCUGGUGUAGCGGUGAAAUGCGUAGAUAUCAGGAGGAACACCGGUGGCGAAGGCGGCCUGCUGGACUGCGACUGACGUUGAGGCCCGAAAGCGUGGGGAGCAAACAGGAUUAGAUACCCUUGUA
rnacentral:rRNA from 1 species